rnacentral:rRNA from 1 species
GACGAACGCUGGCGGCGCGCUUAACACAUGCAAGUCGAGCGGACAUAUUAGCAAUAGUAUGUUAGCGGCGGACGGGUGAGUAACGCGUGAGGAAUCUGCCUUUCAGAGGGGGAUAACACAGAGAAAUUUGUGCUAAUACCGCAUAAGACCACGGCAUCGCAUGGUGAUGGGGUCAAAGGAGAAAUCCGCUGAAAGAUGAUCUCGCGUCUGAUUAGCUAGUUGGUGGGGUAAAGGCCUACCAAGGCGACGAUCAGUAGCCGAACUGAGAGGUUGGUCGGCCACAUUGGGACUGAGACACGGCCCAGACUCCUACGGGAGGCAGCAGUGGGGAAUAUUGCGCAAUGGGCGAAAGCCUGACGCAGCGACGCCGCGUGGAGGAAGAAGGUCUUCGGAUUGUAAACUCUUGUCGACAGGGACGAUAAUGACGGUACCUGUGGAGGAAGCCACGGCUAACUACGUGCCAGCCGCCGCAGUAA